GGCUCAGAAUGAGUAGGGUACUGGCACAGUGCUCUGCUGAAUAUUUUCACCCAUGUCUUUUGCGCACUUUUUGUUUCCUGGGCGAGUUUGCUCGCCACCAGGACCCCCAUAUGAACCUUUUUUGUUUUUGCACUCAGCGUCAGUACAAUAAUUUAAUCUAUUAAAACUUUCAACAACGGAUCUCUUGGUUCUGGCAUCGAUGAAGAACGCAGCGAAAUGCGAUACGUAGUGUGAAUUGCAGAAUUCAGUGAAUCAUCGAAUCUUUGAACGCACAUUGCGCCCUUUGGUAUUCCAAAGGGCAUGCCUGUUCGAGCGUCAUUUGUACCCUCAAGCUUUGCUUGGUGUUGGGCGUCUUAUUGUCUCUCCGUCUCGGGGAGACUCGCCUUAAAACAAUUGGCAGCCGGCCUACUGGUUUCGGAGCGCAGCACAAAUUUCCGCUUGCAAUCAGCCAAGGGCGGCAUCCAUGAAGCCUUUUUUCUCUCACAUUUUGACCUCGGAUCAGGUAGGGAUACCCGCUGAACUUAAGCAUAUCAUAAGCCGGAGGAAAUCUUUUAACCCGUCCAUU
rnacentral:rRNA from 1 species